rnacentral:rRNA from 1 species
UGGGGAAUUUUGGACAAUGGGCGAAAGCCUGAUCCAGCAAUGCCGCGUGUGUGAAGAAGGCCUUCGGGUUGUAAAGCACUUUUGUCCGGAAAGAAAUCCUUGGCUCUAAUACGGUCGGGGGAUGACGGUACCGGAAGAAUAAGCACCGGCUAACUACGUGCCAGCAGCCGCGGUAAUACGUAGGGUGCAAGCGUUAAUCGGAAUUACUGGGCGUAAAGCGUGCGCAGGCGGUUUGCUAAGACCGAUGUGAAAUCCCCGGGCUCAACCUGGGAACUGCAUUGGUGACUGGCAGGCUAGAGUAUGGCAGAGGGGGGUAGAAUUCCACGUGUAGCAGUGAAAUGCGUAGAGAUGUGGAGGAAUACCGAUGGCGAAGGCAGCCCCCUGGGCCAAUACUGACGCUCAUGCACGAAAGCGUGGGGAGCAAACAGGAUUAGAUACCCUGGUAGUCCACGCCCUAAACGAUGUCAACUAGUUGUUGGGGAUUCAUUUCCUUAGUAACGGAGCUAACGCGUGAAGUUGACCGCCUGGGGAGUACGGUCGCAAGAUUAAAACUCAAAUGAAUUGACGGGGUCAUAGCUGUUUCCU